AGUGAACGCUGGCGGUAGGCCUAACACAUGCAAGUCGAACGGCAGCACAGGAGAGCUUGCUCUCUGGGUGGCGAGUGGCGGACGGGUGAGGAAUACAUCGGAAUCUACUUUUUCGUGGGGGAUAACGUAGGGAAACUUACGCUAACACCGCAUACGACCUACGGGUGAAAGCAGGGGAUCUUCGGACCUUGCGCGAUUGAAUGAGCCGAUGUCGGAUUAGCUAGUUGGCGGGGUAAAGGCCCACCAAGGCGACGAUCCGUAGCUGGUCUGAGAGGAUGGUCAGCCACACUGGAGCUGAGGCACGGGCCAGACUCCUACGGGAGGCAGCAGUGGGGAAUAUUGGACAAUGGGGGCAAGCCUGAUCCAGCCAUACCGCGUGGGUGAAGAAGGCCUUCGGGUUGUAAAGCGCUUUUGUUGGGAAAGAAAUCCAGCUGGUUAAUACCCGGUUGGGAUGACGGUACCCAAAGAAUAAGCACCGGCUAACUUCGUGCCAGCAGCAGCCGCGG
rnacentral:rRNA from 1 species